UUCUCUGAUUUACACUAGCUGAG
rnacentral:miRNA from 1 species